rnacentral:lncRNA from 10 species
UUCCAUACCAAGUAAUAUAGGCAGUUGCAACAUCCAUGAAGAGUUGUUAAUUGGAGCACAAGGCAUCUGCAGUGUCAAAUCUACAGAGACAAGUGCACCUGGAGACAAAUGACCAGACUACCAUAAAACAGAAGCUUAAUUAUGUUCACUUACAUUUUCAAAUUAUUCCCAACAAAUUACCCUGUUUUUCCAGGCAGAAGAAGCAGAG